rnacentral:rRNA from 1 species
UACAGAGGGUGCGAGCGUUGUCCGGAAUCACUGGGCGUAAAGGGCGCGUAGGUGGCGACCCAAGUCUGUGGUGAAAGCUCGACGCUCAACGUCGAGUCGGCCAUAGAUACUGGGUUGCUUGAGCACUGUAGAGGCAGAUGGAAUUCCGGGUGUAGCGGUGGAAUGCGUAGAGAUCCGGAAGAACACCGGUGGCGAAGGCGGUCUGCUGGGCAGUUGCUGACACUGAGGCACGAAAGCGUGGGGAGCAAACAGG